GACGAACGCUGGCGGCGUGCUUAACGCAUGCAAGUCGAACGGAAAGGCCCUGCUUGCAGGGUGCUCGAGUGGCGAACGGGUGAGUAACACGUGGGUGAUCUGCCCCUUAUUUUGGGAUAAGCCUGGGAAACUGGGUCUAAUACUGGAUAGGACCAUGCUGUAGGUGGUGUGGUGGAAAGAUUAGUUUCGGUAAGGGAUGAGCUCGCGGCCUAUCAGCUUGUUGGUGGGGUAAUGGCCUACCAAGGCGUCGACGGGUAGCCGGCCUGAGAGGGUGGACGGCCACAUUGGGACUGAGAUACGGCCCAGACUCCUACGGGAGGCAGCAGUGGGGAAUAUUGCACAAUGGGCGCAAGCCUGAUGCAGCGACGGCGCGUGGGGGAUGACGGCCUUCGGGUUGUAAACUCCUUUCAGCCAUGACGAAGCCCUUGUGGUGACGGUAGUGGUAGAAGAAGCACCGGCUAACUACGUG
rnacentral:rRNA from 1 species